GCGCGUUGUUCGCCGUAGGGCGGAGGGAAGCUCAUCAGUGGGGCUACGAGCUGAGUGCGCUUAGUCACUCUAUCCGAUGUCCCUUGGGAAGGUCUGAGACUAGGGCCACGGGCGGCCCUAACAGGGCCCUCCCUGAGAUUCGGGGAGGUGAGUUCCCAGAGAACGGGGCUCCGCGCGAGGGCAGACUGGGCAGGAGAUGCUAUGGACCCCGCCCUUGCGGAGGGGCCUGGCGGAUGCCUCCUUAGCCGGAGCUUGGAACAGACUCACGGCCAGCGAAGUGAGUUCAAUGGCUGAGGUGAGGUACCCCACCCCGCGUGGGGGUCUCAUAACCCAAUUCAGACUACUCUCCCGCCCGUCCUUUUUUAAUGAAAUGAGAACGGUAAUGAACUAAGGAGGCCAAGUGAGUUUUAGAACGGGUGGGUGCCACCGUGGGGGAUGGGUGGAUUCUGCGUUUUUAACAACAACUAAAUAUUGGUGACUUUCAUACAGAUUUUUAUCCCCCUGUUUGUAAGCCACAUAUUUAUUGGACACCGUGGCGAGUUCUGGGGAUAUGGUAGUUCAGCCAAAAUAGACAUGUUUCAUGUCUUGGGGACAGACAUUAAUCAAGUAAUUACACAAGCAAAAGCAGCAACAGUGCUAUAAGAAGUAUACAGUAUUUACGGAAGUUGUGUGAGCUCUUAGUCGCUCAGUCCUGUCUGACUCUGCUAUCCCAUGGACUGUAGCCCUCCAGGCUCCUCUGUCCAUGGGAUUUUUCCAGGCAAGAAUACUGGCUGCUGCUGCUGCUGCUGCUAAGUCGCUUCAGUCGUGUCCGACUCUGUGCGACCCCAUAGACGGCGGCAGCCCACCAGGCUCCCCCGUCCUUGGGAUUCUCCAGGCAAGAACACUGGAGUGGGGUGCCAUUUCCUUCUCCAAUGCAUGAAAGUGAAAAGUGAAAGUGAAGUCGCUCAGUCGUGUUCGACUCUUUGCGACCCCAUGGACUGCACCCUACCAAGCUCCUCCGUCCUUGGGAUUCUCCAGGCAAGAACACUGGAGUGGGGUGCCAUUUCCUUCUCCAAUGCAUGAAAGUGAAAAGUGAAAGUCAAGUCGCUCAGUCGUGUUCGACUCUUCGCGACCCCAUGGACUGCACCCUACCAAGCUCCUCCGUCCAUGGGAUUUUCCAGGCAAGAGUACUGGAGUGGGGUGCCAUCGCCUUCUCUGAAGAAUACUGGACUGGGUUGCAAUUCCCUUCUCCAAGGAAUCUUCCGCACCCAGCGGUUGAACCCAUUGGAAAGUAGUACUUCAGGACUUUAUAUUGUCACCUUGCUUAUUUAACUUAUAUGCAGAGUACAUCAUAGGAAAUGUCGGGCUGGAUGAUUCACAACCUGGAAUCAAGAUUGCUGGGAGAAAUACCAACAACCUCAGAUAUGCAGAAGAUACCACUCUAAUGGCAGAAAGCCAAGAGGAGCCUGGUGACUGUCUUUUUCCGGUAUCUUUCUUACUAAGCUUGUUAACUUGAAUAUUUCCCUGAUGGUAAGUUCUAACUUGAGUAGAUCUAGAAUACUAACCCAAAAGAAUGAAAAUUGAAGUAGUCCAUCUAAACUAGAAUGUGUGUAAAUACCUUGAAUUAGUC
ensembl:lncRNA